UACGUCGGGCGCAAGCGUUGUCCGGAAUUAUUGGGCGUAAAGAGCUCGUAGGCGGUCUGUCGCGUCUGCCGUGAAAACCCGAGGCUUAACCUCGGGCUGGCGGUGGAUACGGACAGACUAGAGGUAGGUAGGGGAGAAUGGAAUUCCCGGUGUAGCGGUGAAAUGCGCAGAUAUCAGGAGGAACACCGGUGGCGAAGGCGGGUCUCUGGGCCGAUACUGACGCUGAGGAGCGAAAGCGUGGGGAGCGAACAGG
rnacentral:rRNA from 1 species